rnacentral:rRNA from 1 species
GGGAGUACGACCGCAAGGUUAAAACUCAAAGGAAUUGGCGGGGAGGCACACAACCAGUGGAACAUGUGGUUCAAUUCGAGACGAACCGAAGAACCUCACCAAGGUUUGACAUGCUAUCGUUUAUCUCGCUAGAAAUAGUGGGAAAUCCGCACGGAUGAUAGCACAGGUGCUGCAUGGCUGUCGUCAGCUCGUUCCGUGAGGAGUGCCCUUAAGUGGGACAACGAGCGCAACCCCUAUCCUGUGUUAGAUAUGUCACAGGAAACGGUCCCGACUUUGUCGGGAAGGAAGGAAGGGCAGACGUCAAGUCAGCAUGGUCCUUAUACCUUGGGCUACACACAUGUUACAAUGAAUAGAACAGUGGGUUUCGCAAGCCUGUAAAGGCAAGCAAAUCUCUAAAUCUAUUCUCAGUGGGGAUUGAGGUCUGCAACUCGACCUCAUGAACUCGGAAUUGGUAGUAAUCGUGGGUCAGUCAUACCACGGUGAUACGUUCUUGCCUCUUGCACACACCGCCCGUCAAGCCAACAAAGUCGAAUAAAUUUGAACCCCGCCU